rnacentral:lncRNA from 8 species
UAGUAGAGGAGCAUGACAGGGUGGCAGAAGAGGGGAGAGGGGUAGGAUGAGAAGAGACAGGGAUGACCCUCACUGGGGAAAAGGUCUACUGUCACAAGUAUGUGGUGGUGAAGUUGUUCUCUGCCCAGCUGACAGAGACAGGAGAUACAGAGACAGGAGUCCAUUCUAUUACAAAAAGAUCAUGUUUGACCAGGUGGAGUCAGGCUUCUACUUCAUCGCCCUGGACCACUACACGAACGAGCCAGAAGACGUUAAGUUUGGACCAGUGAGUCACCAACUCAUCUUAUGCCUUACACAACUCAGCACAUAUGUAUCUUUCCACUUUCCUCAAACUCCAGUGCCCUACUUUUGUUUACCUUUUGACCAAUGUCUGGAUUGUACAAGGAUUUUAAGUUGGGACUUUGACCAUACUAAAUGUAAUUCCAUCUCCUGUAUUGUUCUGCCCUCUCUAUAG